AUAGUCAAAGACGGUUCUGCUGUCACUUAUAGAUGGACCCGCGGUGUAUUAGCUAGUUGGUGAGGUAACGGCUCACCAAGGCAACGAUACAUAGCCGACCUGAGAGGGUGAUCGGCCACACUGGGACUGAGACACGGCCCAGACUCCUACGGGAGGCAGCAGUAGGGAAUCUUCCGCAAUGGACGAAAGUCUGACGGAGCAACGCCGCGUGAGUGAAGAAGGUUUUCGGAUCGUAAAACUCUGUUGUAAGGGAAG
rnacentral:rRNA from 1 species